UACGUAGGGGGCAAGCGUUGUCCGGAAUCAUUGGGCGUAAAGCGCGUGUAGGCGGCUCGAUAAGUCUGCUGUGAAAGUUCACGGGCUCAACCCGUGAAAUGCCGGUGGAAACUAGUCGGGCUGAGAGUCCGGAAGAGGCGAGUGGAAUUCCUGGUGUAGCGGUAGAAAUGCGCAGAUAUCAGGAGGAACACCAAUGGCGAAGGCAGCUCGCUGGGACGGUACUGACGCUGAGACGCGAAAGCGUGGGGAGCAAACAGG
rnacentral:rRNA from 1 species